GUGAAAUUGUUGAAAGGGAAACGAUUGAAGUCAGUCGUGCUGGCGUGAAAUCAAUUCCGCACGGCUGAGCCCUUACCGUUACAGCGAGCCUCAAAACCGCUGUAGCGGUAAGGACCAGUUGUGCGGGGUGCACUUUUAUGUCAGCUGGUUAGCAUCAAUUUCGACUAUCAUAAAAAGGCUGGAGGGAUGUGGCUCCUUCGGGAGUGUUAUAACCUUUAGCGGAAUGUGGUGGUUGAGAUUGAGGUUUGCAGCGGGUAUUUCUACCUGGCCUCUUGUUGGUGUCUUGGUGGCGACAGCUUGCUGACGUUGUUAAGACCAGCCGGCGAAAAGGUUAGAGUGGAACAUUCGUUAAGGAUGCUGACGUAAUGGCUUUAAACGAC
rnacentral:rRNA from 1 species